rnacentral:piRNA from 1 species
UAGCCAUGGUCUCCAGAUAAAUAGUGUU